GUGCUCUUUAGUUUGACACACUCAGCCACAGGGUAUGGAUUAGAGAGAUGAUGGACUUCACAAGGUUAGUGCUCUUUAGUUUGACACACUCAGCCACAGGGUAUGGAUUAGAGAGAUGAUGGACUUCACAAGGUUAGUGCUCUUUAGUUUGACACACUGAGCCACAGGGUAUGGAUUAGAGAGAUGAUGGACUUCACAAGGUUAGUGCUCUUUAGUUUGACGCACUGAGCCACAGGGUAUGGAUUAGAGAGAUGAUGGAC